rfam:Tatumella morbirosei strain LMG 23360 Contig3, whole genome shotgun sequence.
GCAGGUGAAUGCAACGUCAAGCGAUGGGCGUUGUGCUCCACAUUGUCUUACUUUUGAAUUACUGCAUAGCACAUUUAAUUCUUAUGACCCCGGCGUUUCUGACGCCGUUUUUU